CAGGGGUAGCUUGCUACCCGCUGACGAGCGGCGGACGGGUGAGUAAUGCAUAGGAAUCUGCCCGAUAGUGGGGGAUAACCUGGGGAAACCCAGGCUAAUACCGCAUACGUCCUACGGGAGAAAGGGGGCUCCGGCUCUCGCUAUUGGAUGAGCCUAUGUCGGAUUAGCUAGUUGGUGAGGUAAUGGCUCACCAAGGCAACGAUCCGUAGCUGGUCUGAGAGGAUGAUCAGCCACAUCGGGACUGAGACACGGCCCGAACUCCUACGGGAGGCAGCAGUGGGGAAUAUUGGACAAUGGGCGAAAGCCUGAUCCAGCCAUGCCGCGUGUGUGAAGAAGGCCCUCGGGUUGUAAAGCACUUUCAGCGAGGAAGAACGCCUAGUGGUUAAUACCCACUAGGAAAGACAUCACUCGCAGAAGAAGCACCGGCUAACUCCGUGCCAGCAGCCGCGGUAAUACGGAGGGUGCAAGCGUUAAUCGGAAUUACUGGGCGUAAAGCGCGCGUAGGUGGCUUGAUAAGCCGGUUGUGAAAGCCCCGGGCUCAACCUGGGAACGGCAUCCGGAACUGUCAAGCUAGAGUGCAGGAGAGGAAGGUAGAAUUCCCGGUGUAGCGGUGAAAUGCGUAGAGAUCGGGAGGAAUACCAGUGGCGAAGGCGGCCUUCUGGACUGACACUGACACUGAGGUGCGAAAGCGUGGGUAGCAAACAGGAUUAGAUACCCUGGUAGUCCACGCCGUAAACGAUGUCGACCAGCCGUUGGGUGCCUAGCGCACUUUGUGGCGAAGUUAACGCGAUAAGUCGACCGCCUGGGGAGUACGGCCGCAAGGUUAAAACUCAAAUGAAUUGACGGGGGCCCGCACAAGCGGUGGAGCAUGUGGUUUAAUUCGAUGCAACGCGAAGAACCUUACCUACUCUUGACAUCCUGCGAACUUGUGAGAGAUCACUUGGUGCCUUCGGGAACGCAGAGACAGGUGCUGCAUGGCUGUCGUCAGCUCGUGUUGUGAAAUGUUGGGUUAAGUCCCGUAACGAGCGCAACCCUUGUCCUUAUUU
rnacentral:rRNA from 1 species